UCCAAGCCGUCAGCAGACUGGUGGGCAGUGGCAGCCUGUACUGAGCGUGAAGGGAGCUUUCUGUCAGACUGGGUGGAGCUGACAGAAGGCUGCUCUAACUCACAGAAGAUCUCUGGACAACUGAGCUGAGCAGAGAAGCAGCUCAGACUCUCAACAAGUCUCCUCCUACCGACUGCAGAGCUGCUGCAGAGACUCCAGCUGAGAACAUCAGGACAAACAUCCUCAUCUGGUUCAGCCUGAACAGCAGGUCCAACAUUUCACCUGUGGAGACAUGGAGCACCUGGCUGUGAUCUGGUUCUUCUCAGCUCUGAUAGGUCAGAGCUUGGAAGCUGACAUCACCGCCGUCAGAUCUCAGGAGUUUUCAUCAGAGGGACGCAGGGUUACUCUGUCCUGUAACUAUUCAGUUAAAGCUAACAACCUCCAGUGGUAUCGACAGGAUCCUGGAUCAGGUCCUCGGUUCCUUCUCCUGAUCACUGAUACUAAAGAUCCAACCGUGGUGGAAGCAAAACCUCCAAACCCUCGACUGACUGCAGAACUGAACGAGCAGAGGAACCGAGUGGACCUGCUGAUCUCCUCUGCUGCAGUGACAGACUCUGCUGUGUACUACUGUGCUCUGCAGCCCACAGUGACAGGAAACAGCAGAACUCUGUACAAGAACCUGCAGUACUCCACAACAUCCACUAGAGGGCCUCACAGGCUGCUCCACCUCUGGUUUGUCAGGAUUCAGUCUGAUUGAGCUGCUGAGAGAAAGCAGACAUCAGAGGCUUUGCUGCAUCAUUGAACUCUUUGUGAUGAGAAGGUUUGGAUCAGAAAGGAGGAGGAUGGUUGCUCCAUGAUGGAGGUGCAGCCUGUGCAGGACAUCAGCAUGGACAGAGCAUUGUUCCUCCUUUAAGAUGUGUCUCCAACCAGUUCUGUGAUGCCUUCAGGCCACUGAUCUUCUACUCAGCAUUAUAUGUUUUUUUAUGC